rnacentral:rRNA from 1 species
CCUACGGGUGGCAGCAGUGAGGAAUAUUGGUCAAUGGACGAGAGUCUGAACCAGCCAAGUAGCGUGAAGGAUGACUGCCCUAUGGGUUGUAAACUUCUUUUAUAUGGGAAUAAAACGUUCCACGUGUGGGAUUUUGUAUGUACCAUAUGAAUAAGGAUCGGCUAACUCCGUGCCAGCAGCCGCUGUAAUACGGAGGAUCCGAGCGUUAUCCGGAUUUAUUGGGUUUAAAGGGAGCGUAGGUGGAUUGUUAAGUCAGUUGUGAAAGUUUGCGGCUCAACCGUAAAAUUGCAGUUGAAACUGGCAGUCUUGAGUACAGUAGAGGUGGGCGGAAUUCGUGGUGUAGCGGUGAAAUGCUUAGAUAUCACGAAGAACUCCGAUUGCGAAGGCAGUUCACUGGACUGCAACUGACACUGAGGCUCGAAAGUGUGGGUAUCAAACAGGAUUAGAUACCCCUGUAGUC